rnacentral:rRNA from 1 species
GGUUAAGCGACUAAGCGUACACGGUGGAUGCCCUGGCAGUCAGAGGCGAUGAAGGACGUGCUAAUCUGCGAAAAGCGCCGGCGAGGUGAUAUGAACCUUUGACCCGGCGAUGUCCGAAUGGGGAAACCCAGUGUGAUUCGUCACACUAUCGUUAACUGAAUACAUAGGUUAACGAGGCGAACCGGGGGAACUGAAACAUCUAAGUACCCCGAGGAAAAGAAAUCAACCGAGAUUCCCCCAGUAGCGGCGAGCGAACGGGGAGCAGCCCAGAGUCUGAAUCAGCUUGUGUGUUAGUGGAACGGUCUGGAAAGUCCGGCGAUACAGGGUGACAGCCCCGUACACGAAAAUGCACAGGUUGUGAACUCGAAGAGUAGGGCGGGACACGUGGUAUCCUGUCUGAAUAUGGGGGGACCAUCCUCCAAGGCUAAAUACUCCUGACUGACCGAUAGUGAACCAGUACCGUGAGGGAAAGGCGAAAAGAACCCCGGCGAGGGGAGUGAAAAAGAACCUGAAACCGUGUACGUACAAGCAGUGGGAGCACCUUCGUGGUGUGACUGCGUACCUUUUGUAUAAUGGGUCAGCGACUUAUAUUCUGUAGCAAGGUUAACCGUAUAGGGGAGCCGAAGGGAAACCGAGUCUUAACUGGGCGUUAAGUUGCAGGGUAUAGACCCGAAACCCGGUGAUCUAGCCAUGGGCAGGUUGAAGGUUGGGUAACACUAACUGGAGGACCGAACCGACUAAUGUUGAAAAAUUAGCGGAUGACUUGUGGCUGGGGGUGAAAGGCCAAUCAAACCGGGAGAUAGCUGGUUCUCCCCGAAAGCUAUUUAGGUAGCGCCUCGUGAACUCAUCUUCGGGGGUAGAGCACUGUUUCGGCUAGGGGGCCAUCCCGGCUUACCAACCCGAUGCAAACUACGAAUACCGAAGAAUGUUAUCACGGGAGACACACGGCGGGUGCUAACGUCCGUCGUGAAGAGGGAAACAACCCAGACCGCCAGCUAAGGUCCCAAAGUCAUGGUUAAGUGGGAAACGAUGUGGGAAGGCACAGACAGCCAGGAUGUUGGCUUAGAAGCAGCCAUCAUUUAAAGAAAGCGUAAUAGCUCACUGGUCGAGUCGGCCUGCGCGGAAGAUGUAACGGGGCUAAACCAUGCACCGAAGCUGCGGCAGCGACACUAUGUGUUGUUGGGUAGGGGAGCGUUCUGUAAGCCGUUGAAGGUGUGCUGUGAGGCAUGCUGGAGGUAUCAGAAGUGCGAAUGCUGACAUAAGUAACGAUAAAGCGGGUGAAAAGCCCGCUCGCCGGAAGACCAAGGGUUCCUGUCCAACGUUAAUCGGGGCAGGGUGAGUCGACCCCUAAGGCGAGGCCGAAAGGCGUAGUCGAUGGGAAACAGGUUAAUAUUCCUGUACUUGGUGUUACUGCGAAGGGGGGACGGAGAAGGCUAUGUUAGCCGGGCGACGGUUGUCCCGGUUUAAGCAUGUAGGCGGAACGAUUAGGUAAAUCCGGUCGUUUUUUAACGCUGAGGUGUGAUGACGAGGCACUACGGUGCUGAAGUAACAAAUGCCCUGCUUCCAGGAAAAGCCUCUAAGCAUCAGGUAACACAAAAUCGUACCCCAAACCGACACAGGUGGUCAGGUAGAGAAUACCAAGGCGCUUGAGAGAACUCGGGUGAAGGAACUAGGCAAAAUGGUGCCGUAACUUCGGGAGAAGGCACGCUGAUAUGUAGGUGAAGCCCCUGCGGGUGGAGCUGAAAUCAGUCGAAGAUACCAGCUGGCUGCAACUGUUUAUUAAAAACACAGCACUGUGCAAACACGAAAGUGGACGUAUACGGUGUGACGCCUGCCCGGUGCCGGAAGGUUAAUUGAUGGGGUUAGCGGCAACGCGAAGCUCUUGAUCGAAGCCCCGGUAAACGGCGGCCGUAACUAUAACGGUCCUAAGGUAGCGAAAUUCCUUGUCGGGUAAGUUCCGACCUGCACGAAUGGCGUAAUGAUGGCCAGGCUGUCUCCACCCGAGACUCAGUGAAAUUGAACUCGCUGUGAAGAUGCAGUGUACCCGCGGCAAGACGGAAAGACCCCGUGAACCUUUACUAUAGCUUGACACUGAACACUGGUCCUUGAUGUGUAGGAUAGGUGGGAGGCUUUGAAGCGUGGACGCCAGUCUGCGUGGAGCCGACCUUGAAAUACCACCCUUUAAUGGCUGGUGUUCUAACGUAGACCCGUGAUCCGGGUUGCGGACAGUGUCUGGUGGGUAGUUUGACUGGGGCGGUCUCCUCCCAAAGAGUAACGGAGGAGCACGAAGGUUAGCUAAUCCUGGUCGGACAUCAGGAGGUUAGUGCAAUGGCAUAAGCUAGCUUGACUGCGAGAGUGACGGCUCGAGCAGGUGCGAAAGCAGGUCAUAGUGAUCCGGUGGUUCUGAAUGGAAGGGCCAUCGCUCAACGGAUAAAAGGUACUCCGGGGAUAACAGGCUGAUACCGCCCAAGAGUUCAUAUCGACGGCGGUGUUUGGCACCUCGAUGUCGGCUCAUCACAUCCUGGGGCUGAAGUAGGUCCCAAGGGUAUGGCUGUUCGCCAUUUAAAGUGGUACGCGAGCUGGGUUUAGAACGUCGUGAGACAGUUCGGUCCCUAUCUGCCGUGGGCGCUGGAGAAUUGAGGGGGGCUGCUCCUAGUACGAGAGGACCGGAGUGGACGCAUCACUGGUGUUCGGGUUGUCAUGCCAAUGGCAUUGCCCGGUAGCUAAAUGCGGAAGAGAUAAGUGCUGAAAGCAUCUAAGCACGAAACUUGCCCCGAGAUGAGUUCUCCCUGACUCCUUGAGAGUCCUGAAGGAACGUUGAAGACGACGACGUUGAUAGGUCGGGUGUGUAAGCGUAGCGAUACGUUGAGCUAACCGAUACUAAUGAACCGUGAGGCUUAACCUU